UACGUAGGGGGCAAGCGUUGUCCGGAAUCAUUGGGCGUAAAGAGCGCGUAGGCGGCCCUGUAAGUCCGCUGUGAAAGUCAAGGGCUCAACCCUUGGAUGCCGGUGGAUACUGCAGGGCUAGAGUUCGGAAGAGGCGAGUGGAAUUCCUGGUGUAGCGGUGAAAUGCGCAGAUAUCAGGAGGAAUACCGAUGGCGAAGGCAGGUCUCUGGGUCGAUACUGACGCUCAUGCACGAAAGCGUGGGGAGCAAACAGG
rnacentral:rRNA from 1 species